AAGAUACUAGUUAAGCGCAAUAACAUUGCCUUGUCAAGGCAAAAUCGCGGGUUAGACCCCCGCGUAUCUUA
rnacentral:tRNA from 1 species